rnacentral:rRNA from 1 species
CCUACGGGAGGCAGCAGUGGGGAAUAUUGGGCAAUGGGCGCAAGCCUGACCCAGCAACGCCGCGUGAAGGAAGAAGGCUUUCGGGGUGUAAACUUCCUUUAAGAGGGAAGAGCAGAAGACGGUACCUCUUGAAUAAGCCACGGCUAACUACGGGCCAGCAGCCGCGGUAAUACGCAGGUGGCAAGCGUUGUCCGGAUUUACGGGGUGUAAAGGGCGUGCAGCCGGGAAGACAAGUCAGAUGUGAAAGCUCAGGGCUCAACCCUGAGCCUGCAUUUGAAACUGUGUUCCUUGAGUGCUGGAGAGGCAGUCGGAAGUCCGUGUGUAGCGGUGAAAUGCGUAGAUAUACGGAGGAACACCAGUGGCGAAGGCGGAUUGCUGGACAGUAACUGACGCUGAGGCGCGAAAGCGUGGGGAGCAAACAGGAUUAGAUACCCUGGUAGUC